rnacentral:rRNA from 1 species
AUUGAACGCUGGCGGCAGGCUUAACACAUGCAAGUCGAGCGAGCGGCGGACGGGUGAGUAAUGUCAGGGGAACUGCAUGAUGGAGGGGGAUAACUACUGGAAACGGUAGCUAAUACAGCAUACCAGAUGAAGUGCCCAGAUGGGAUGAGCUAGUUGGGGGGGUAACGGCUCACCUAGGCGACGAUCACUAGCUGAGCUGAGAGGAAGACCAGCCACACUGGAACGGAGACACGGUCCAGACUCCUACGGGAGGCAGCAGUGGGGAAUAUUGGACAAUGGGCGAAAGCCUUAUCCAGCCAUGCCGCGUGUGUGAGGAGGGUCUUCGGAUUGUAAAGCACUUUAAGUUGGGAGGCGUUACCAACAGAAUAAGCACCGGCUAACUUCGUGCCAGCAGCCGCGGUAAUAC